GAUGAACGCUAGCUACAGGCUUAACACAUGCAAGUCGAGGGGAAACGAUAUUGGAAGCUUGCUUCCGAUAGGCGUCGACCGGCGCACGGGUGAGUAACGCGUAUCCAACCUGCCCACCACUUGGGGAUAACCUUCCGAAAGUAAGACUAAUACCCAAUGACGUCCAUAGAAGACAUCUGAAAUGGAUUAAAGAUUUAUCGCUGAUGGAUUGGGAUGCGUCUGAUUAGCUGGUUGGCGGGGGAACGGCCCACCAAGGCGACGAUCAGUAGGGGUUCUGAGAGGAAGGUCCGCGACAUUGGAACUGAGACACGGUCCAAACUCCUACGGGAGGCAGCAGUGAGGAAUAUUGGUCAAUGGGCGAGAGCCUGAACCAGCCAAGUAGCGUGCAGGAUGACGGCCCUAUGGGUUGUAAACUGCUUUUAUAAGGGAAUAAAGUGAGCCUCGUGAGGCUGUUUGCAUGUACCUUAUGAAUAAGGACCGGCUAAUUCCGUGCCAGCCGCCGCCGUAA
rnacentral:rRNA from 1 species